GGACUACUGGGGUAUCUAAUCCUGUUCGCUCCCCAAGCCUUCGUCUUUUAACGUCAGUUUAUAAAUAGAGGGUUGUUUUCACCUUUACACAUUCUAUUAGUAUCAAAAGAUUUCAUCCUUACACCAAUAGCUCUAAUAUUUACCUCUCCUAUUAAACUCUAGCAAAAAUAUUCUAUUUGGUAGUGAAUUUUGCUGUCUAGGUACGCUUUAAACCUAAUAAAGAUGAAUAACACUAAUCUUACUUGUGUUACCGCGGCUGCUGGCAC
rnacentral:rRNA from 1 species